CAAACCUGGAGAAGCGUCAGCUCAAGAUAUUAUUGUUGUCAUUGCUGUGGAUCUUUACCUGAUACACUGACUUGGCCGAUCGGGACCAGCACUCCUGUUGUUGGACAGAAAGACAUCAACUCAGUGACUUGAGAUAUGACUGCACUAUGCUGUUGCUGGUGACUCCGGUUAAUUCUACAAGACAUGCUGUGACACCAGGAGAGAUGAGUCCUCCGUCACAGAUGGUGUG